rnacentral:lncRNA from 1 species
UAAUAUUGAAGUAGUAAUGAAUAUAAGAUCUUAAGAAAAGUAUGCUUAACUUGGCAAAUAAACUAAGUCUUAGUUUAUUUGUUAAGUGUUUGAGACAAGUAAUUUUAUGACUUGAAAUCAAUUUUUAGGUGAUCAAUCUAAAAAGAGCAUUAAUAAUUUCUCAAACAAGUAAAAUUAAUCAAAGCACCUACUUGAAUGAUUAAAAUUCAAACUUUUAGAAUACAAGAAGUAGAAAUACAUAACCAUAUUCAAAAGAAAUUGUUAGGAGCAUGAGCCAUCCAUCCAAGGAUUGGAUGCUUUGAGUUCCAAAUGAGAUUACAAAAUUGAUUUUUGCAUCUCAUUUGCCUCCUCCUUUUCUCCUCUUGAAUUAUAAACUAGAAUUACAAAACUUACUUAAAUAAAGUUCCUAAGAACUAAGAACAAGAAGAGAUAACUUCAGAGAAGAAUUUCUAGGCAAGAUGUGAAUGAAAAUGUGAGAUAAAUGAUGUUUUUUUAUUCUAAUGAAAUGUGCCCUAUUUAUAGAAGUUCCCUGGACCCGCUGAGCUACUUGUUAGCACCGCUCAGCAGCUGACCAAACCCUUCAGCAUGGGUUUGGUCACUUGAUCAAACAGCUUUAUCACCUCCUUAUGCUUGACUCAUCAAAGUUAGUUGUGAGCUACUGGACCAGCUAUUGUGAGCUACUCUAAAAACCUUAUGGUGGGCUACUUGAAGUGAUGUCAUUGGUGACUUCAUGGUUUGCUUGAUGGCUAAGUCAAGUCUGGGUGCACACUGCUUAGCACACCUGUUGCACCGCUAAGCUGCUUGUUCAGCAGAUUUGACCGUGCUGACUGGGACGUGGCCUGGUGCUUGCUGAUCUGGGCAGGAGUCUAGUUCUUCGCUGAGCUGCUUGGUUGCACAGCUAAGGUGCUUGUUGAGCAGCUUGGGCAUGUGCCAAGCUCGUGUCUAGCCGUGUCAAGCUUGAGUUCUGACCGUGUCAAGACUAGUCUGAUGCUAGGCUGAGCGGCCAAGUAGGUCCGUCAGCUACUUGCUUGAGCAGCUUGGUCUAGGUCAGCUUAGCGUGGCUUGGUCCACGCUCAACUUCCUGCUUGAGCACCUUGAUUUUGACUUCUUUUUUUUUACCAUGAGUCUUUUUUCUCUUCUUUUCUUCUUUCUAAAUCCUACAAAAUACAUAAAAAAGAAAUACAAACACAAAUAUACAAUAUUGUGAUAUUUUAUACAAAAAGUAUUGUUUUAAGUUGGUUUUUCUCAAUUAUGCUUAGGACAAGUGCCAUAAAAUGAUGAUGAAAAUUGUAUACUUUUUGCACUUAUCAAUGCCUAGAGCUCAUUGGUCAUAUCUAGACUUGGAUAUAAAUAGAGUCAUUAUUCUAAGUAGUUUGGGAUGUGUGCCUUAGUAAGUGAGUAUAGGUGAGGUGAACCUAGGUGCAAGUCUCUCAAGCCAUUAUAAUUAUCACAUCACAUCCAUGAGACAUAUCAUCUAGUUAAUUGUAUGUUCAUACAUUAAUCACACAUUUAUAUGUGCAUAUUAGGCAUAAUAUAAUUGCUAAAACAUGUAUAGGAGUUAAGCAUAACAUAUGAGAAGUUUACCUUUUGAACCACCUAUUUUAAUAUGCUACUUAAUUCUAUUAACGUGGUGACUUAAUCGAUUAACUCAACUGUUUUUCUGUUAUAUCAGUGUUUCUGUUACAACUAGUUUCUAUUUCAAUUCUGCUGCACUGGUUAAUCGAUUAACGGGUUACCUUAAUCGAUUAACAGGUAUGUUUUGUGUUAUAACUGAUUUCUGUUUUAACUGCUUAAUUGAUUGCAACGAAUCCAACUGUAAAAACUGCCUAAUAUAAGUUGAGGCAACUUCCAGAAAAUUGUAGCAUUGCAUUCCAUUGUAUAGGAUUGAAUUAGAUAGCAUAUUUCAUUUUUGCAUUUUGUUUUUGCAAGAGAGUUGCAUGUGUGAGGAAGAGAGAUUACCAUGCCUUAUCGAGUCUUUGAUUUGCAUACUGUUUUUCAUAUGUUUAGUAUCAUCCUUAUCUUGCUCACAUGUUCAUGCAUUAUUUGUAAAGAUUUUUAGAGAGGUAUAUUGAUUACUGUUUUUGAUUAACUCACAUGUAUUUGAUGACUUGAGUGAAUUGUGAGGGGGUUAGUCUUAAGGUCUUUUAUUGUAAUAUUUCAAGCAUUAUUGUGCUUAUAAUAUCUUGUUGUUGUAAUCUGUUUUUGUAUGAUUUUGAUUGAUCUCUUGGUGUCGUACCACCAUAGAGAUCGGGAUUCUUCACCAAGACUAUGAGGUCUUGAUUUGAGAACAAGAAUCUUGGAUGGGGCUGUUUCGUGAGAAAGGUUUUCUCAGGCGAUAGGUAGAGUCAAACCAAGGGUUAGGUGUUCUAGAUUUCAAGAAAGAAGCGUCCUAUGUUUUGUAAAUUGAAUUCGUGGGUGUGAUCAUACAUACAUUCAAUAUUGUGAAGAAGAAAGUCUCCCAAGACCAGAAGGGGAGGCAUAGAUGUAGUUUGUAGUGGACCGCAAACGAACCAGGAUAAAAAUUUAUUUUUGCACGUUGCUCUCUUCUUAAAUCUUCUUUACUUUUCUUGCUGUUUCAAUUCGAGUUAAUAGAUGAUAUUUUGCGUAAUUGUACCCUUCCAUAUGCUUAUUAAUAAUGCUUAAAAAUAUCUGCUUUAUUUAUGUUCAUUUGAUUUUAAAUAACUGUGCAAUUUGCUGCUCUGAUUAACUGGGAUGUUUCCAGAACUGGAUUUUGGUGUGAGAAGCGAUGAUUUAUAAUCGCUACACCUAUGCUAUUGAUACCUAACAAGUCAAACUGCAAAUAAAGAGAUAAGAUGAUAAAAGCGAGAUAAGAUGAGAAGAAAAAUAAAUUCAUAACAACAAACAAACAAAUACAAUAUUGUAACUUGUAACUAAAUGUGUGUGUAUAUAUAUAAAUGGAGAUCGGUUACAUAACAUAGUUUUUGAGGGAUUGGCCAUUGUUAAGGAUGAAAUCCCUGUAAAUCAGACACUAAAGAAGAUGAUUAUAGGAAGAAGAAAUCUACAGAAUAAUAAAAUCAAUCAUACCACGUAUACAAAAUAAACAAAUCAAUGAAAUACUAAACAAAAAAAUCAAAGAAAAAAUAAGAAAAUAUAUACAUAAUAAACAAAAAAUCAAUUAAAAGAUCUAGAAAAUAAGAACAUUUCUACAAAUAAGAACAUAUCUAGAAAGAAACAAAUGAAUGAAAAAAAUUAAUAAAAAUGCACUUUAAAUAACAUAUUUACAAAAUAAGAACAAAUCUACAAUGAUGAAGAUUGAGUAGCAGUAUACAGAAGCCAUAAUAUUAGGUUUAAACAAAAUGAUGAUUGACGAAUGAAACAUUGGAUUGUAGACAUGUGAGAGAAUAAGAGAUAGAUACGAAACGAAAGGGGGAGAGAAGACGAUGGAGAUAUGAAAUGAUAAUGGAGAGAAAAGUAAUUCACAUGUGAAAAGGGAUUCAAUCCCCUUUAUUGUGAUAUGCAAUUUCUUCAUAGAAUAAAAAACAAAUGAACUCAUUAACCAUUAGUAUUAAAAUAUACAAUGUACAAAAAGGGAAUAUACAAUGUUGAAAGAUACAUAUUAUUAACAUAUACAUGUUUUGGAGGGAAAGUUUCGAUUGAAAGAUUGACAUAUGUCAUGAGAGACAUUUUUUGAUUGAGAGAUUUUGAUUGAGGGAUUGACACAUGUCAUGCGGGACCUUUUUUUGUUAUAUAGAAAAUAGGUAAUAGAUACGAUUAAUAGAAAGAAUGUAACAAAAAUUAUCUAGAUUAUAAAUUUGUUGAAAGUAGAAAAUAAUUUUAUUAAUAUAAAAAAUUAAUUUUACUUGUCAUAAAGAAAUUUGUAUAUUCAAACACAUCAAUAUUGUACUCAUUGUUUAUGAUUUUAUGUUUGAAAAGCUUAAAACAUACAAUUAAAUAUGGAGAAUUUGUGAACAAUUUAGACAAAAUGUUAACUUAUGACAAAAAGUAAAAUGUUGAUCAAAAGGAGAGAAAAAUGUUUGAAAAGUCUUAUAAUGAGUUCUCUAAUUUGUAUAACUCAAUAUUAUUUUAUUCUAAAAUAAUAUCAAUUUCAAAAUUCACAUUAUUAUUAUUUGAUUUUAAAAUAACUCCAAAGACAUAUAAUUGAGAAUUGAAUACACACAAUUGAGAAUUCAAAAUACACAUUAAAUUCAAAUAAAAAAUGAUAUUAUAUGAAUAUUUGAAUAACACAUUUUCCUAUAAAUAAAAUCAACACUAAUGUUACAACUCAUUAUUAUUUUAUUCUAAAAUAAGAUCAAUUUAAAAAUACACAUCAUUAAUAUUUGAUUCUAAAGUAACUCAUAACACAUAAAUUUCAAAUUGUAUGAUAUAAUAUAUCUCCUCUAUAUUCUCUAUAUAAACAUAAAUAUAAAAAUUUCUUUCUCCAUUCUAGUUUUUUUGGGAUCCAUCUCAUAUAGAAAAACGUUGUAUGAACUAUUAAGUUGUUACAUUUGAAAAUGUUGCAGGAAUCUUAUUUCAAUCUCAUACAUUAUUUCCCUUAAAAUUUAAUGUUGAAAAAUUAUUUAAAUUAUAAUAGAAAAUUAAGAGCAUUGAUUUCUAAAAGUAAGAUUGUAUGGAUUUUGAGUCACAUAUUUUGUUGUAAACAUUGUCUGCUCCAUAUACUAUUUGUUUUUCAAUGGUAAAAAAUAUAAAAUUAAAAUAUUUUUAAUUUAUGUUUUACUUUUAUGAUCAAUGAGAAACAAAUGUACAUGAAGUGUUACAGUUUGGGACAGAAAUGGAAAACAAGAGAAUUCUAACAAAAUUUCAGGCAGAAUAUCUUGAAUGAGGAUUUGGGAUUUGCACUACUUUUUUAGAAAGCUGAGAAACUAACAUUAAUAUCUCAUUUAUGUAUUGAAAUUAUUAAAUUAGAUACUCUACCUUUGUGACAAGUGUACAAAGUAAAGACAUUUUUGUCAAUAUGAAGGAUUGUUAGAAUUACUAAAAUGACACUCUUGAUUUGUGGUAAAUAUAAUUUCUACUCUUAGUUUGUUCAACAUAUCUACUAUUUUCAACUCUAAAAAAAGUCAGUCACAUGUAUCAUUUUGUAUUCUUUUAAUUUCUGUCUUUGUUGGUUGAUAUACCUUUUCAAAUUGUCUUCACCAAACUUAUCAUCUUUAACUCUCAAACCAACUCACAGUUAUGAUUUUAUUUUUAUACACUUUCAAUUUUUUCAUCAUUUGUGGUAGAUGUAAUUUCUAUCUUUGUUGGUAGAUAUACUCUUCAAAUUGUAUUCAAUAAAUCUAUAAUCUUCAACUCACUCACAAAUAUGAUUUUCUAUUCUUUUAAUUGUUGUUUUUGUUGGUAGAUAAUCAUAUAAAUUUAACAUAUUUUAUUAGACAAAUCUAUCAUCUUAAACUCUCGAACUCACUCAAAUUUAUGAUUUUCUAUUCUUUUAAUUAGUGUAUUUGUUGGUAGAUAUACUUUAUUAUAUUUCAAUUUUUUCUUUGUAAACUCUUCCAAUUUUUAGUUUGUUGAGGUAUGAUUUUAUUUUUAUACUCUUUCAAUUUUUUCUUUGUAGACUCUUUCAUUUUUAUUUUGUUGAUAAAUUAUUUUAUCAUAUAAAUUUUUGCAUCAUAAAUGUUGUUUUCUUCAUCUUCUUUUGUCUUUGUUUCAGCAUUUACAAAAGACAGAACUCACAUCCUCGAACACAAUUAUUAGAGGUUGCAAUUUAUACUAUUUCAUUUUUUUCUUUGUAGACUCUUUCAAUUUUUACUUUGUUGAGGUAUGAUUUUAUGUUUAUACUCUUUCAAUUUUUUCUUUGUAGACUCUUUCAAUUUUUAUUUUGUUGAUAGAUUUAUUCAUCAUAUAAAUUUUUGUAUCAUAAUUAUUUUUUCUUCAUCUACUUUUGUCUUUGUUUUAGCAUUUAUAGAAGAUAAAACUCAUCUCCUCUAACACAAUUAUUAGAGGUUGCAAUUUCUACAUGUGUACAAAGUAAUAUAUUUUUUAUUAUGUUUUAUUGUUCACACUUGAAUUAUGGAUUUGUCAUGCUAUUUGUUUCAACAUUUGUAGAAGAGAAAACACACCUCCUAGAAUAUAAUGAUUAGAUGUUGCCAAUACUAUUUGAGUGUAAUUAUAACUCUUCCUUAGGAUCCUUUUAAUUGUAACACGAAUUAUGCCCCGAAAAUUACUCCACAAAUAUAACGCCCAAAAAUGGGAAAAAAAAAAGUUUUGAAUAAUGUAACAUAAACUUAUCAUCUUUAUAUUCGUUUCUUUUUCGGGUCAUCACUUUAAGUAACAUACAUUGCGGAAAAUCAAAAACCGUUACCUAAUGGUAACCAAAAAUAACACAAUAUAACUUUGAAGAAUACUUCAUUUAAUAACGGUAAAUAUCUGUACGAAAUGCAAAUUAGAAGAAAUAUUCGCCCAAACUGAAAUUACACAAAAGGCUCAGACAUUCAACACAUCAAAAAGUACCUUACAUAGAUCUAAGUCGCAAGGGCUUGUGUAGGUGUACUGAUCUCCCUCAAUCCUCCAUGCCCCCUCCUGGGAGAUCGAGAAGUGGUAACUCCGAAUCCUGACCGAGCGAUCCAUCUGAACAAAACGCAAUCUGAAGACAAAUAGAAAGAAGAGGGAGUAAGACAUCUAAUGAAUAUUACUCAUAGACGGCGUGGAAUUACACAGAAUAUCACAUCCAGACAGACACGCAUAAUAAACACAAUAUAUACAUCACAUAUAAAAAUGCACAAUGAUGAAUGAUGUUAUAAUCUCAGAUUAUGAGGAUCAAAGUCCACAAUCUCAAUGUAUGAAUGUUAUGCUUGUUUCAUCCAUCCUUUCACCAAUAUCCUCCCANNNNNNNNNNNNNNNNNNNNNNNNNNNNNNNNNNNNNNNNNNNNNNNNNNNNNNNNNNNNNNNNNNNNNNNNNNNNNNNNNNNNNNNNNNNNNNNNNNNNAGUAUGCACAAUAAACGGGUUAGCCGAUUAAAUCUUUUAAUCAUUAUUUUAUAUGAUCGGCCCAACCUAAGACAUCUCCCUGAGGAAUGCUUCUUAUGGGACUCGAUCUUACGUCAACACGUAAAUAGAGGAAUAACAUCCCUACCACUAUGAACAAUUGUUGAAUCACCCUGGACGGCCACAUGGCCAAGCCUCUUACGGUCGGACGACCUCGCUGCGUGGUAUCAUGUAAUCCUUUUUUGGGCAUCGCCCUAAUAACGACAUCACAGUCGGAAACCUUGCCCUAAAUAGGCGCAAGAACAAAUGUACUUGUAUAAGUUUGUUGAUUUUGGGCAUCGGGUUCAAUCAUCUGAGUCACGGUCUUUCCCAAGGGUAAAUACACUUCACACCCAAGCUAGGGCUAUUUUCUAAGCAAUAAAACAAUCACAAUCAGUCAAAAAUAUUGUUUGUCUUUCGCCAAAGCGACCAAUUCAUCAACACAUACUCAAAUUCCUGCAUGGUUCUCGCUCGAGCAAGGGGACUGUCGCUCAAGCUAAAAAUCCACAAAAAACUGGUCAAACUACCUGUCUGGACUUGCCCGGGCGAGGUAUGAUCGUCCGGGCGCCAAAAACGCCCAAAACAGGUUGUCUAGCCCUCGCCCAGACGAGAAACGCUCGCACAAGCGAGGCUGGCUCGCCCAGGCGAGGGAUUGCUCGCCCAAGCGCUAUUUGGAACCAUUCUUUUCUAUUUCUCCCUUUUGGGCUAUCGGAUCAUUUUCCUCCCCCUUUUGGGCUAUCAGAUCGAAACUCUCCCCUCUUUUCAAUCCUAAUGCAUUUUAGUUUCUCGAGUGGUGUUACUUCAUGGAUAGCCACCACAAUACUUGAUAUUUUAAGUUACCCUAAUCAUACAACUUAAGAAAGUAUCCAUACAAAAUCCAGGCACACAAAAUAAUUGAUUAAGUACGGGUUUUCUUAAUACACAAAUAUAACUGCAAACGUUUGAGAUAGUUUAGGAGAUCCGGGUGUCAUAUUCGGACAUCACUAUGUCAUGAUGUAUUCUUCCUCACCUUAGGUUGUCGCGUUCUUGCUUUAUUUUACGAGCAAGUGGGUUGAUCAUCCAACUUCGAAAGCUUCGAAACUAAACACACAAAAAUAAUUUAGUGAUUUGUGAAUCAAUUUUACAUGACAACCCUAAAGUAAAAUCAUGGUUUAAUACUUUAAUCCAUUUAUGAACUCAACGAAUUUCAUCCAUCCGGUCCAAGAUUCAUAUUUUUGAAUAAUCAUUUAUCAUCGAAAGUCUUGUUCCCGAUUUCCAAGAUAAGUUUUUGUAAAGUUUACACUUUUAUCACCUCAUAGAUUUAUAUUUUCAUGGCGACUUUGUAAGCCAUACUUCACCAUUUUAAGGUAAGUUUCUUAAUCCAAGUCUACACUUUUUAAAUCCAUAUCUCCCAAGUUGAUCUUACCACUUUAAAGUAAGUCAUCUUAAGUAGAUUCCAUAUUUUGCAUAAUAGGUUUUCAUGGUCAUUUCAACACAUUCUUGAUAGUGUUGAUCUCAUACUUAAACAACGUUUAAAUCAACAUUUCUUAAGUUACACUUACCACUUUAAAGUAAGNNNNNNNNNNNNNNNNNNNNNNNNNNNNNNNNNNNNNNNNNNNNNNNNNNNNNNNNNNNNNNNNNNNNNNNNNNNNNNNNNNNNNNNNNNNNNNNNNNNNAUCUUAUAACAAAUCAAUCAUCCUUUACUUCAUAACACUUUAAGUUUAUAAAGUCAAGACUUUUAUAAGUCAUCUUUUAUUCCAAAUCAUUACUUGAACUUGGAAGUCAAAGAAUAUCAUCUACUAACCAACUUUUAAACUCAUAAUAUUCUAAAACAACACUUUUUCACAAAACUCAUCCAUAAACACUUUAAAGGUUCCUUUGAUAACAAAAUUAUCCCCUUUGAAACAAAAUCAAACUUCAACAUUAAAAAUAUAUUAUUCUAAACUUGUCCAAGGCUAUGGUUUUUCAAGCCAAAAACAAGUAGAAAAUUCCAAACUUUGCAUGGUUAGGAAAACUCCUUAAAUGUUUCUUUGAUAUACAACCAUCACCUUUAACCAUGUUCGAAUACCAACAAACAAAUAACUUUCUAAACAUUAAAAACAGCCCCGUGAACACAAAGAGUUCAUGGUUUCAAAAUAACUUUCUAAGUUCAAGAAAACGUAUAUUUGGAGUUUUAAAUAUAAAGAGUUAGGAAGAUAUUUAGAACAUUUCAACGGUUGAAAAUGUUCAUAACAUACAUAUAAAUAUCAUACUAAAAUUUCAUAAACAUCUAAUGGUUAGAUGUUAAGAGAUGAAGAAAUCAAAAUGAAAAAUCAUGAAGAACUACCUUGAGAGUUCUUAGAGAAUGCAAAGUGAAGAAGAGUUUGAAAAUGCCAAGGUAUUCUCUUAGCUAGGGUUUGGCUCCUUAAAGAGAGAAAUCAGAUUUGGGGGGAAAAUACAAUGGUUUCUUCCAAAAAGUAGAUGUGUAAGAGGUAGAUGAGUGAUUUAAGGGAUUUUGUGUAAGAGGAUAUGAAUUUUUGCUUGUUCCACAAGCAAGCCUCUUACAUGAAAGCGAUGUGACCUUUUUGGUGAAACAUUCGAAAAUAAACCGUGCUCGAUUAUUGUCGGCUAAUACUCGGUCGGAUAUUAAAAAUCUUCCGACUUCGGUUUACGGUUAGAACUUCGAAACACAGAAUUUGGAGUGAAAAAUAUUUAGAAAUGUGUUCUGGACAAACUUGAUGUCUAUCUUGACUCGAAAUAACAUUUCGAAGCCAAUGGCGAAAUCAGAAUUCGAUUCCGAGUUACGGAACUCAAAAACACGUUCUUGGGCCGAAUUCGAGCGAAUUUGGGUCCGACAGCAGCUCAAAAACUUUCCGUCACAGAAAAUUACAAACAUUUACCAUAAAAUAGGAAAUCACAAAACAUGACUAACACUCAACUACGGUUUAGUCUAAUUCAAUACCGAUUAAUUUCUGAAAUUAAUCGUUGUUAAAAUAAAUAAUUAAUAAAACAUACAUAGAAAAUUCACGGUGUUACAAAUUAUAUAUAUACAUUGUAACAUUCCUUUUUUUAUUAUGAAAAUGUGAAUUUAAUGAGGGAGCAAAAAAUGACAAGCAUUUUGUCCAAGAAUUAUUGGAGGUUUAUGUAAGUUAGUUGACUAUUACUAGAAAUAAGAAGAUUCCCAAGAAAUAAUGUCAAUAUUAUUGAAAUUAAAUUGAGAGAUGUUAAUCUGUUUUCCUCCUUGGCCAAUGGCCAAGAGAAAAAUUAAUUUCAACUUUAAUGCCUAAUUUUAAGGUGAUGAAAUCUGCCAUCAUGUUCCUAUCUCUUAAGAUAUGUUGAGUAUGAACUUCCCAAUUUCUUAUAAGCACAUCACCAAUGUUAUGGAUAACAUGAGUAAGAUAAUGCAAACGAACCUGCAUCCUCUCAAUGAUGAUGUGGACUGCCUCAAGGAAAUCACUUUCCAAGGUUACCAAACGAUAACCUUGAUUUCAAGCCAACCGAAGAUCAUGCUCAAUAGCAAGCAACUCUGCUAGAAUAGGAGACCUAUAUCCAAAGUUUCCCGAGAAUCCUGAUAGUCAUUGACCUUCAUGAUUGCGGAUAAAUCAUCCUCCUUCAAUAGAUUGAUCACGAAUAUUAUAGCUACCAUCUACAUUAAGUUUCACUCUAGCAAUCUUUGGCCAACACCGUUGAGUUCUAGAUAGAGAAACAUCACUAGUAAACCAAUCCUUAUAAUCAUGGUGAAUAUUUCUAGCGACAUAAUUUCAGUCCCAUGGUAUAUUUCCAAAUAUAGUAUUGUUAUGCCAUUUCCAAACCCACCAUAAACCUUCCAAAAAAAAGUCUCCCAUUUUGAGUUCGAGUAUUAUCCACUAGCCAAGACAUGAAGGUGUGACUAUCCUAGAAGUUGUGAUUGUUGAAACCCAAACGAUGCCAUAACAUAGCAGAGUUGUUACAAUCUCUGAAAGUAUGGAGGAGAUCCUCAAUGGCAUUAGUACACCGAGCAUAAAGUUUAUUGGCAAAGAAACAUGAGCACGUAGUUUAUCGUAAAGAAACCUGAGCAUAGAGCUAACAAAGAAAUUAGACUUUUUGUGGUACAUGUAAUCUCCACAACCAACUCCAAUGAUUAUGGUAAGUCAUAACCUCAUCAUUACUCUUAAUCCACAAGUAACCUGAAUUAGUUGUAUAACACCCCGAUGCACUAUUCUCCAAAAUCCAAGAGUUAAUCAUGUUAUUAUCGGAAGACAGAACAAGAAUUGUUUGAAUAACAUCCUUCACAUGUAUAGGAAGCAUAGUAUAAAUAAUGCUAAAAUCCCAUGAACUAUCCUUCCAUAAGUCCUUCACUUGUAGCUGAGUGUCAGAAAUAUUAACAUAAUCCACCAUAGUGCAAAGCUUGCCCAACCCAUACCAAUUGUCAUGCCAUAGGGAUUGGUCACCAUCACCUAACUGCAAUAUGAAACCAUUCCUAAGUUCCACAGUGGCAUUUUCUAUACUCUUCCAGAUAGGAGAAUCAGAAGACCUAUUUAAGGCAUAAACCAUACAACAAUCCUCAAGAUACUUCUCUCUAAGAACCAUGCACCAAAGCUUAUUACUCCCUUGGAUCAUGUUUCAACGCAGUUUUCCCAAAAGAGAUAUAUUAGCCAAACAUGAGUCACGAAUCCCAAGACCACCCUCGUUUUUAUUCUUAGUCAAAACCUCCCAAUUAACCAAGUUGACUCUAUUCGUUGACAUCACCCUCAUAGAAAGUUCAUGGUCAUCCUAUUAAUAUCAUUAUAAAUAUCCUGAGUGAGUCACAUACUCUGCAUGGUAUAGGUUGGUAAGGAAGUAAUAAUCGAUUUAAUAAGAUAAAGUCUACCAGCUUUAUUAAGGAGGUUCGACUUCCACAUGUGCUUUUAAAUUUUUUCCAUCAACGGAUUAAAAACAGAUCUUCGAACCCUCCCUUAAACAAGCAGGAUUCCCAAAUAUUUACCAAGGCUAGAGACAACGCACGUCUUAGAAAGAGACAUAAAGUUAUGUUUCCUCCUCUUGGACACAUAUUUAGAGCAUACAAUUUACUCUUAUAUUAACAAAAUGGAGUUUCUUUGUCAAAUUAUCAUAUUGCAGAAAACAUACUAAAACACCUACAAUGUCCAUUAAUAUGGUUCUAAUACAACAAAUAUUACAUUAACAAUUCAUUAACAUGAACGUUUAACAUAAAACAAAUCAAUGGAGAUUCUAAUAUCAUUAACAUAAACAAUUUUCAUCUUUUGAUUGAUUUAUUAAAAAUUGUAUUGCAGGAAUAUUUGUAACGAGUUUUAUAUCAUGACAAAAAAAAUAGCCCCUUAUAAAUGCAAAUGUCACAAUAUGAAGAUAUCAAUUUUAGUAAAAGCACCAACUCGUUCUAUUCCAUUAAAAAUAUCUAGUGUCCUUCAUUCUCCUUUUGUGGUAGGGAAUUGGAAAUUUAGGUACAUUAUCUAUUUUUUUACCCUUAUAACUACUUUUAACAUUUUCUCAACUUUAAAACUUAGAUUUAAUUUUUUAAAUACAACGUUAUGAUUAUUAGAUUUAAUUAAAUCAUAAUAAUUAGUUUUAUGGGUUAUGAUUGACAUGAUCUAUAACCUUAUGAUUUAUUCAUUUAGUCAAUCUCUCAUAUUUAAUCAUUUUAUUUUUUUUAUCAAAAACCAAAAUUACAUGUUAAUCACAAAAAUGGAAGUCAUAUCUUUAGGGUUUAUAUCACAUCAUUAUUAUUUGAUUUUAAAAUAAAAUCAAUUUUAAAAUGUGCAUAAUUAUUAUUUGAGAAUGAAACAAUAAUAAUUAUGGUUAUUGUGGCUGCAGUUAUUGUAAUUAUGAUACUGUUGCGAUUCAAAUUGCAGUUGUUAUAGUGUGAAAUAUUUCAUAAUUAAAUAAAUAUUUUUUAAAUUAAAUGCAGACUGAUAUCAUCCAAUAUGAUUCGUUGUAGCCUAAUGUAAUCACAUUAUUAUGAUUCACUAUCACACUACAAAUAUAACAAAUAUAGUAAAUAGUUGCGGCUGUCGCCAUAAUGCAAUAUGGCAGAUUUAAAUCAUUUAUCAUUCCUUGAGUUUAGGACUUGGCCUUUUUCUCCAAGUUCAGAUCACAAUUAAAAUUUAGAAAAGUAAAUACUCAGAAUAAGCAAAAAGAGAAAGCGGAAAGCCACCAACCAAAUUCAUUUUAACAUUGUGCACAAUUUAACUGAAAACUGCAGAGGACAACAAUCCAAUAAGAAAAGAUAACAAAUCUAUUCGAUCAUAUCAAACUAAGCAUAUCUUUUCCUUCCACCUAAUAUAUUGAGAAUGCUUAGAAUGUGUAUAAAUAGAUGACAUCCAUCUUCACUUUUACAAUCUUGAGGCACUUGGAACAUUCAGCAACAUGAAUGUGCACUUGUUAGGCUGCUUUGCCUGCACAUAAAACAACCUAAGAUUUUAGACCAAGUUACAUGUUUUUGUUCGUAUAAUUAAGGGUAUCCCCUCAUCCCGUGGAUAAAGAAGUAUGUGUGGUUGUCCUCUCAACAACCGCUGCUCAGAGAAAUCGAUUUUUUUUACCUUUUAGUUAUUUUGGGAUGCAAUAGAGUCUUACAUCACUAAACCAAGUUAUUUAACUCUAAUAAAAUUGUUUUUUGAUAGACAAUAAGAAAGAUGCAAACCUUGAAUGAAGACAUUUAGGAAGUGAAGAAAGAUCCACUCUUGAUAGCAUCUUCAUUAGCAUUACCAAGAGCAGCCUCAUUCAAGUACUUGUCUGCCAAUUGGACUCUCUUCACAUUGUCUUGUUCUUGGACAAGCAUGUUACCAUAUCCCAAGAGAGUCUCCAGUGUCAUCUUUGGCUGGUCAAAAGUUGGAGGUCCUUC